rnacentral:rRNA from 1 species
CGGGCGACCGGCGCACGGGUGAGUAACGCGUAUGCAACUUACCUAUCAGGAGGGGGACUAACCCGGCGAAAGUCGGACUAAUACCGCAUGAAGCAGGGGCCCCGCAUGGGGAUAUUUGCUAAAGAUUCAUCGCUGAUAGAUAGGCAUGCGUUCCAUUAGGCAGUUGGCGGGGUAACGGCCCACCAAACCGACGAUGGAUAGGGGUUCUGAGAGGAAGGUCCCCCACAUUGGUACUGAGACACGGACCAAACUCCUACGGGAGGCAGCAUG